GACGAACGCUGGCGGCGUGCCUAACACAUGCAAGUCGAGCGGGAUCCAUCUGGUGGCAACACCGGGGAAGAUCUAGCGGCGAACGGGUGAGUAACACGUGAGAAACCUGCCCCGAACUUCGGGAUAACACGGGGAAACCCGUGCUAAUACCGAAUACCCUCUACCGGUCGCAUGGCCGGAAGCGGAAAGAUUCAUCGGUUCGGGAGGGUCUCGCGGCCUAUCAGCUAGUUGGCGGGGUAACGGCCCACCAAGGCAUCGACGGGUAGCUGGUCUGAGAGGACGAUCAGCCACACUGGGACUGAGACACGGCCCAGACUCCUACGGGAGGCAGCAGUGGGGAAUCUUGCGCAAUGGGCGAAAGCCUGACGCAGCAACGCCGCGUGCGGGAUGAAGGCCUUCGGGUUGUAAACCGCUUUCAGCAGGGAAGAAAAUGACGGUACCUGCAGAAGAAGCCCCGGCCAACUACGUGCCAGCCGCCGCGGUAA
rnacentral:rRNA from 1 species